rnacentral:rRNA from 1 species
CACAAGCGGUGGAGUAUGUGGUUUAAUUCGAUGCAACGCGAAGACUACUAGCUUGACAUCCCGGAGACCCUUAGGAAACUAGGGGGUGCUUCCAUCUGGAAGAAUCUGGAGACAGGUGCUGCAUGGCUGUCGUCAGCUCGUGUCGUGAGAUGUUGGGUUAAGUCCCGCAACGAGCGCAACCCUUGCCUUUAGUUGCCAGCAGUUCGGCUGGGCACUCUAAAGGGACUGCCGGUGUUAAACCGGAGGAAGGUGGGGAUGACGUCAAGUCCUCAUGGCCUUUAUGACCAGGGCUACACACGUACUACAAUGGCCGAUACAAAGGGCAGCGACACUGCGAGGUGAAGCCAAUCCCGUAAAAUCGGUCUCAGUCCGGAUUGGAGUCUGCAACUCGACUCCAUGAAGUUGGAAUCGCUAGUAAUCGUGGAUCAGCAUGCCACGGUGAAUACGUUCCCGGGACUU